CCUCAUUCUAGCUUAAAAUGCUUCUGUGGCCUCCCGUGGACCUGAGGAUGAGGACUAACUCUGCUCUGCAUGCAGGCCCUCCUGAGUCAGGCCUUCUUCUCCAGGCUGGUCGCCCACAGUCAUUCUGCCCUCCAGCCAUCCCAAGCCAGAAGGCCUCCUUCUCAGAACUACUGAUUUCACACUUCCCUGUGUUGUACUUUCCCCACCACCCCGACUAGGCAUGCUGCUCCCUCUAUCCUUGCAAACAGAACAUGGCUGUGCAGUCGGCGAGGACAUCCUUCCAGGCUUCCUGACCACAGGCAGGAAGAGAAGUCCCCCCUGCCACUCCACACCCAGGAGAAGAGAGUGGCUGGUCCUGUCAGACUCUGGCUUUCCAAAGUCUGGGCAGGGCCUGGCACAGGGAUUCAGCAGCUAAGAAAGCCAAGAGGAGUUACUGACCAGCUUUUCUCCAGGAUCUCACAUAAACCAGAAGUGCAGCAGCAAUAACCAUCAGGCCAAGCAGGCUCGCAGGAAGCCAAGGAACCAGCCAGUUGCUGGCGGGAGUGAACAAGACUUGAGAACCUGGGAGCAGGGAGAAGAAGGUGGCCAUGAGCACUGAAGAUAAAAUUCGGAAAUGCAUUCUAGCCUGGCACAGAACAGGCAGAAUGACUGAUAUUAGGGGAACCGUCUGGCCUGGGGGAGCCUCAUAGAUGGGCAUGAAGGAUGGCUCAGGGGAUGGCAGCAAGGAUGAUGGUGACACCACGAGUGACCACGUGACUGCUCCCCCCGUGAGGCUCCCCACUCUCCAUGGACUUCAAUAUUUCUCUGCCAGGCUCAGUGGACAGAUGGACUAAUUAGGGUCCAUGCUCAGUCAUGCAGUGGCUGCCAUGAGUCCAGCACUGUGCCAGUCGUGAUGGGAGGUACACAGAGGGUGAGAUCUGACCCCUGCCAGCUUGCUGGGGCUCAAAGCUCUGUUGGAGAACAAAACACACCCUUCAGAGACAGCUUCUUGGGCUCACUCCUCUCUCUGGAGACACUGUUCUCAGCCUCGCAGGAGUAGUUCCCAGCAUCCUGUUCUG
rnacentral:lncRNA from 1 species